rnacentral:rRNA from 1 species
UACGAAGGGGGCUAGCGUUGUUCGGAAUUACUGGGCGUAAAGCGCACGUAGGCGGAUACUUAAGUCAGGGGUGAAAUCCCGGGGCUCAACCCCGGAACUGCCUUUGAUACUGGGUAUCUCGAGUCCGGAAGAGGUGAGUGGAAUUCCGAGUGUAGAGGUGAAAUUCGUAGAUAUUGGGUGGAACACCGGUGGCGAAGGCGGCUCACUGGUCCGGUUCUGACGCUGAGGCGCGACAGCGUGGGGAGCAAACAGG